rnacentral:rRNA from 1 species
GCCUACGGGGCGCAGCAGUGGGGAAUAUUGCACAAUAGGGGAAACCCUGAUGCAGCAACGCCGCGUGAGUGAAGAAGUAUUUCGGUAUGUAAACUUCUAUCCGCAGGGAAGAAAAUGACGGUACCUGACUAAGAAGCCCCGGCUAACUACGUGCCAGCAGCCGCGGUAAUACGUAGGGGGCAAGCGUUAUCCGGAUUUACUGGGUGUAAAGGGAGCGUAGGCGGUAAUGCAAGUCAGAAGUGAAAGCCCGGGGCUCAACUCCGGGACUGCUUUUGAAACUGUGUUACUAGAUUG